GCAACGAAGUUAAAAAGCACAUAUAAUAAUGCGACGUUUGUCGAAAGACAAACUCGGCAGAUAAACAGUGAGGCUGAAUUCCUGCCGAACUGUUUAUCAUGA
rnacentral:sRNA from 1 species